AACGUAGGGGACAAGCGUUAUCCGGAUUUACUGGGCGUAAAGCGCCCGUAGGCGGCUUUUUAAGUUGGACGUGAAAGCUCCCGGCUUAACUGGGAGAGGCCGUUCAAAACUGAGAGGCUCGAGUGAGGCAGAGGAGCGCGGAAUUCCCGGUGUAGUGGUGGAAUGCGUAGAUAUCGGGAGGAACACCAGUGGCGAAAGCGGCGCUCUGGGCCUAAACUGACGCUGAGGGGCGAAAGCGUGGGGAGCGAACGGG
rnacentral:rRNA from 1 species